UGGGAAUUGUAGGCAUCUCAGCGACCAUGUGACCUCUGAGAUCCAAUCGCGAUGCACCCGCCUCCCCAACAGGCUAUAUAUAGCAUGAUAUGAUCAUUAUCUGUCUGCUACCAACAGGGUACUGACAGAUGUCUUUAUUCCUCUUAAAGAUAGAUGAAUUGAGGCUCUUCAGUGCCCAUGUUAUUGUCUUACUUAAUUCCCCUGUAUUCACCUUGAUUUUAUUACGCUUCAAGUCCUGUCAGUUGAACUUGGAUUUCAAUAUCCACCCUGAGGGGGUUUUUCCUUGACUGGCUGUGCAUGAAGCUAGGAGUAAUCUAGAGAGACGAUCUUGUCCUAAUUCCCCUGAAGAAGCCAAGUUGGCGAAACUAGUAGGGU